rnacentral:rRNA from 1 species
GAUGAACGCUGGCGGCGUGCCUAAUACAUGCAAGUCGAGCGAACAGAUGAGGAGCUUGCUCCUCUGACGUUAGCGGCGGACGGGUGAGUAACACGUGGAUAACCUACCUAUAAGACUGGGAUAACUUCGGGAAACCGGAGCUAAUACCGGAUAAUAUAUUGAACCGCAUGGUUCAAUAGUGAAAGACGGUUUUGCUGUCACUUAUAGAUGGAUCCGCGCCGCAUUAGCUAGUUGGUAAGGUAACGGCUUACCAAGGCAACGAUGCGUAGCCGACCUGAUAGGGUGAUCGGCCACACUGGAACUGAGACACGGUCCAGACUCCUACGGGAGGCAGCAGUAGGGAAUCUUCCGCAAUGGGCGAAAGCCUGACGGAGCAACGCCGCGUGAGUGAUGAAGGUCUUCGGAUCGUAAAACUCUGUUAUUAGUGAAUAACAAAUGUGUAAGUAACUAUGCACGUCUUGACGGUACCUAAUCAGAAAGCCACGGCUAACUACGUG